rnacentral:lncRNA from 1 species
CUCAAUGUUAAAUAUGUUGGUGCCUCUUUUAUAGAAAAGGAUGAUGAAGGUUAUCUGAUGUGGGAAGGGCAACCUAUGGAUUGUUACUCAGUGAGUAGAGUUUGGAAUGACAUUCGGCAGAAGAGAGCUAAGGUAUAGUGGUGCACUCUAAUAUUGAAAGAGCCCUCUAUGUUAAAGCACUGCUUCAUCAGCGUGAUGGAAGUCAAAGGGAAGCUGGCACCUAAUAGUGAUAUAGCUAGUUGGGGAGUUCCUCGAGACAUCUCUUGUCUCCUUUGCGAUGAAGGGGUGAAUGAAACUAAUCAUAUUUACACUAGUUGUGCCUUCUCCACUUGCAUACAUAAUUCUCUUAGACCUGAGUUUAGAGCGCAUGCAGACUCGAAUGUUGAGGUUAUGAACAUAAGCAGAGAGCUUAAUGGAGGCACUAAGAAGGUG